GAUGAACGCUGGCGGCGUGCCUAAUACAUGCAAGUCGAGCGAAGAGGGGACGGGUGAGUACAACGUGGAGAAACUCCUAUAAGAAUGGGAUAAAUUAGGGAAAACGGAGCUAAACCGGAUACUUAUAGCUGGAUCCGCGAGGCAUUAGCUAGUUGGUAAGGUAACGGCUUAGCAAGGCAACGAUCCCUAGCUGAUCUGCGAGGAUGACCAGCCACACUGGAACUGAGACACGGUCCAGACUCCUACGGGAGGCAGCAGUGGGGAAUCUUCCGCAAUGGGCGCAAGCCUGACGGAGCAAUGCCGCGUGUGUGAUGAAGGUCUUCGGAUCGUAAAACUCUUUUAUUAGGGAAGCGUUACCCACUCAGAAAGCCACGGCUAACUACGUGCCAGCAGCCGCGGUAAUUC
rnacentral:rRNA from 1 species